rnacentral:lncRNA from 1 species
GUGACAUUCCCUCGCAUCAUUCAUUUUGUUUUUAUAGUGUGGAAAACCCCCCAACAAAUCUUACUGAGAUUGAUGAGAAAGGGAGACACAAAUGAAUAGAUUGACUCUAAACACUUUUUUACACAUUUCCCUUCUGUUUCUCUCGAAAUUAUCGUAUAUUGAGCUCUCCUUUACACUAUUAACGUUUCUUUUACAAUCCGGAAAAAUCAGUAUGACGAGAUAUUCUAAAUAUAUUCAACCUACAUUAUAUUUUAUAGUGACGUCAUUGUUGGAAUGCCACACUACGUGGAAGCAGGAAUAUCCUUCACUGGUUAUUUAAAUCAUUGAAUGAUUACAUGUGAUUCUUCCGGCGGGAGUCAAAAUCUCCCGCUUUUAAGACCCUCUUCCGUCCCUCCCG